CUGAUCCAGCAAUGCCGCGUGAGUGAAGAAGGCCUUCGGGUUGUAAAGCUCUUUUGUCAGGGAAGAAACGGUGAGGGCUAAUAUCCCUUGCUAAUGACGGUACCUGAAGAAUAAGCACCGGCUAACUACGUGCCAGCAGCCGCGGUAAUACGUAGGGUGCAAGCGUUAAUCGGAAUUACUGGGCGUAAAGCGUGCGCAGGCGGUUUUGUAAGUCUGAUGUGAAAUCCCCGGGCUCAACCUGGGAAUUGCAUUGGAGACUGCAAGGCUAGAAUCUGGCAGAGGGGGGUAGAAUUCCACGUGUA
rnacentral:rRNA from 1 species